rnacentral:rRNA from 1 species
ACUCAAAUGAAUUGACGGGGGCCCGCACAAGCAGCGGAGCGUGUGGUUUAAUUCGACGCAACGCGAAGAACCUUACCCAGGUUUGACAUGCAUCUGCAAGCCGGUGAAAGCCGGUCGCCUUCGAGGGUGAUGCACAGGUGCUGCAUGGUUGUCGUCAGCUCGUGUCGUGAGAUGUUGGGUUAAGUCCCGCAACGAGCGCAACCCCUAUCGCCAGUUACUUGUGUCUGGCGAGACUGCCGGCUUUCGGCCGGAGGAAGGCGGGGAUGACGUCAAAUCCGCAUGGCCCUUACACCUGGGGCGACACACACGCUACAAUGGCCGGGACAGCGCGUCGCGAAGCCGCAAGGUGGAGCCAAUCGCCCAAACCCGGUCCCAGUUCAGAUCGAGGGCUGCAACUCGCCCUCGUGAAGGUGGAGUUGCUAGUAACCGCGUAUCAGCCAUGGCGCGGUGAAUACGUUCCCGGGCCUUGUACACACCGCCCGU